AUGGUGCCGGCGAGCACGGUGCUCACGCUGCUGGGCUUCUGUGCCAGCGUCCUCUUCAUCGUCUUCGUGUGCUCCCGGCUCGUCUGCUCCCUCACCCGCCGCGUGCGCCGCGGCCGCCGCCCCUCGCCGCCUCUCCCCCGCUUCCCCCCCGUCGGGGUCAGAGCCGGUCACUCCCUCCACGUUCCGUUCGACCGCCAGGGACACGCCGCUGGAGGGGGAGGGGUCGACCCAGCCGCCGUAGCCGCCUUUCCCACCCGCGCCUUCUCCGCCGCCGGCUGCCCCCGCGGCGAGGCGGCGGACGCCUCCGCCAUGUGUGUCGUUUGUCUUGCAGAGUACGAAGAUGACGACGUACUCCGCGUUCUUCCUUACUGUGGCCACGAUUUCCACGUGGCCUGCACCGACAUCUGGCUAAAGCAGCACUCGACAUGUCCUGUCUGUAGAGUUUCCCUGCGGAACGACCCUGGCAGAAAGCACGCUGCGCCGCCUCUGCCAAGCGCGGUGAUAGUAAUUCCCCCAUGCUCGCCUGAAGUGUCAAGAUCCGAUCCAUGCCGCUGCCUGUUCUCCGGCAGAGGGUAUUCGCCAACUACAUCGUCACAGGUUCAUAACGAACCUGGCCAGGCGAAUCAGAUUCAGGUAGUAUGCCAUCCAUCCGAGGAUCAGGGAAACAAUGCAACGCCAUCUGAGGUUGGCUCUCCUGUUGAGAAUAACAACCAGACAGGGAAAUUGAACAUAGAGAGUCCUCGCGUUGUUGGCAUGCUGCCAUGA
rnacentral:rRNA from 1 species